CAUCCACCUCGAGGCAGAGGGGUGGGCAGAAGGACGGUCGGUGUUCAACUCUCUACGGUUCAAAACCAAGUCCAUCCAAGCCUCAAAGUAUAAAGAAGGCGCCUAGACACUCGAUGGGUGGUGUAAACCGUAGGGUGUCCAUUGGUGGAGCCACGAUGCAAGCAUCCAAAACAGACAUAUUGUAUACGAAGAAUGUUCAUGCUGCCAAGAGAAGUGAAGACAUUGCCCAUUUGUCCCCUGGUAAGCAUCUAUCAAGUUUGAGAGCUAUUUGUUGUGCUACAUAUAUAUCUUUGCUACAAGUCUCGAGAUUUACGUGGGCGGAGUAUCAGAAAAUUAGGGAACCAGUUUCUGACAUGAACUCUCUGUAAAACACUGUAUAUUCAAUAUUCAGACAUAGAAGCCUUGCUGUGGUAGAGAUCACAUCAAUUAGAGAUAAGGGAACUUCUUAAUCAUGCUUUAAUUUCUUAAACAAACAAGUUUUCUUUUCUAAUUUAUAUCCAACCAUAUUUAGUGGGUUUUAACUAUAGUUAAUUUCUGACAACCAGGCUGGUGUUACACUUUUGUUCAUAAUAGAAAAGGUUGUUGCUACAUUUGCAUCCAAUCCAACAAUGAAUUAAAAAGCGUGCAUGUUAUUUGGUUAUUGGCCUUUGUAAUUAAAAGAAUCAUGUUUAUGCAUUUAAGAAAAGGAUAUGUGCAUGGUACUGAACAAUGAGAAAAACACUGUCGACCAUAUCUCAAAUCAAGUUAUUUGGUGUAUUUCAGGGUGGGCGUGUAACUAGAGAACAAAACACUAUGGCGGCAAAUGAGACUAUCGAACCGAACUGAUUGUACUGAAAACUAGGACCUAAACUUGUG
rnacentral:lncRNA from 1 species